rnacentral:rRNA from 1 species
AACGUAGGAGACAAACGUUAUCCGGAGUUACUGGGCGUAAAGAGCUCGUAGGCGGUUUGUUGCGUCGGCUGUGAAAUCCCGAGGCUCAACCUCGGGUCUGCAGUCGAUACGAGCAAACUAGAGUGUUGCAGGGGAGACUGGAAUUCCUGGUGUAGCGGUGAAAUGACGCAGAUAUCAGGAGGAACACCGGUGGCGAAGGCGGGUCUCUGGGCA